rnacentral:snoRNA from 1 species
AGUCCAUGGUGAGGAUACCUUCCCAGUAGGUCCUUGUAUCUCUCCCAUGCAUCGUAAAGAGUUUUUAAGUCUAUCUGUGCAAACAAAGAGAUAUCAUUAUGUAAUU